rnacentral:lncRNA from 1 species
ACCGGGGAGGACGCAGGCGAGCUUGAGAGUGGUUGGGGACGGACCGGAGCAGCGAAUCAACGGCGAGGUGCGGCGGCUGUGACGGUGAGGAAGUUGACCGUGGCAUCGUCUUGGGGCCUGCAGGUGCGAAUGGAGUAGUUGGCGAGGACGAGCGCGACGUGACGGAGCUCCUGGUCACACCGGGAAGUUCAGAGGCGGUCGGCGGCCACGGGAUCGACGCGGCGACGGCGUCGACCCCGUCGGGUGCCUCUCCAGAUCGGGGAGGAGAGCGAGGGGGAGAAGGGGGUAGUGGCUAGGGCUUGACCGGGGUCGCGGGGUCAGUCUUGUAGGCAGCCAGGGGGCGUCGACGGCCGGCACGGUUUACCCCCUGCCUCCACUGUAGCGAGAGGAAGGGGAUGCCCCAUGCGGGCUGGGCUGGCCGUACGUGUUGAGUUGAAGCCCAAUAGUGCAAUGCAUCACUAACCUUUUCAUUUUUUUCUAACAAAAUCAUUGUAACACUGUUUGUAUUUUAUUUAAUUUCAAAUGAAUUUUAUUGCACAUGAAACUUGUCACAUAGUUACUUUGAAAAGUUUUGGAUCUACCCACAAAGUUUAGGGGCAUUUUGAAAUCAUCUGGAUUAUGUUUAAAUUUAGAACGCUCUCAUAAGUGGUGUUGAUCCUCUGUUUUAAUUGCUAGGGACAUUUUGGGCAACCAAAAGGAGUUGGCAUUAUUUUUACCAAUACUAGGGGAUUAUUUGGAAAUUUGUAAAUAUUUUUGUUUUGCAUUUUGAAGAAAUAUUAGUUUGACUUUGAUUUAAAACUCGGUUUGUAUCAAAGUGAGGUUUAGCAAUUAAUUGCGAUGACAUGGCACCAUUAGCGUGUGAUUACUGUAGCUGAACUACCGGGGUGUUACAAAUCUCCUCCACUACAAGAAAUCUCGUCCCGAGAUUUAAGAGUGGAGUAAGGGGGGAAAGAGUUGGUUAUGAAAUUCUAACGAGUCUUCACGGUCUUGGUUGCCCUUAUCGAAGAAGUUGAUCCUUUUCUUUGAUGCCUUCAUUUCGCUGCAUCAGGGUAUCUUGAUGAAGUCAUCAUCCUCCCUUCAGGAUCUUCACCGUACUUACGAAAGGAUGAGAGGGGAAAACUCUAUAAGGAAGGGUUUUAACAAGACUGAGCAUCAGACGAUUAACUCAGGGAAGAAGUAUAAAGUGUCUAUCGAGUUGAUUAUAUGAAACACCUUGAGAACAUUAUAGGGGGGUACGAAAGUUUCAAAUGGGUAAGCAAUCGUUCGAUGCCUAAAGUAGAGUGUGAUGGGGGGUUCAGAGCAAUGGAAUAAGUAUUGCGUAUGAUACCAGAAUAGAUCAUCUCUAGGACGGUGGCUCAUGAAUUACAUACGAAGGCAAGUGCAAAGGAUACUUCGGAAUCAAGGAUGUACAGGAGAGUCAGGUUUCGAUCCUGUUGAACUGUGGGUAUGGGCCCACCAUGUGGUUCAAAAGUAGGAAGGACGCUGACAUAUAGCACGGUCAUGGUAGCAAGGCAUGUCAGAGGAUAGCCUGUCAGUUAUGUUGGCAACAACGUUGGUACCAAGGGCGAGGGAUGAAGAGAACCAUUUUCCUGCUCGUUGAAACGAGGCGGACCAAUAGGCAAUGUUCUCGUCCAUCGGCGGUUACCGGAAUGUCAUCAACAAUAGUAACAGGGUCUUACUGACAGAGUUGUACAUCGAGGUGUUUACCUAAGCAACAAAAUAUUACUGCUUAUAUCAUACAGAUCACACAAAAAAAGUUAAACAAAACAAUGGAAAGGAAGAGGUGUAUACACGAGUAUUAGGUGUAUCUCCUUCCCAGGAGCAAGCAGAGCGGGAUAAUCAUGACAGGACUGCAAGUAGUUAACCAACUAGGGAAAAGGGUGGGGAAACUCGUGAUGUUACCCAUACAAUGGUGUGUGGAUAGUUGAUCAAGAAACAUUUAGUAUUGCGCCGCCAAUGUUCUUAUUGAUGAACGGAGUACCAUAGUUGUGCUUCGGGAUAGCAUUGACAUGGUCAUCAGGUAAAGGUCAGUCUUUGGAUACUCAAGGGAUCCAUCGAAUUUUUUUAGAACAUCUCAUGCAAUUUUACCAGGAAAAAGAUGAGGAUGUGGCCGAUGGGUUCAGCAGCAAUCCAUCGACAUGUCAAAAAUGAUGUAUUUCCAAAAUUGUAUGAACUAGUUUGUGUUGGGGGGAGGCAAGAAUGUUUUCGAUGAUAACAUAAAUCAUCAAGGGGCAAGGAUGGUAUUUCUCAUCAUGAAUUCGAUUGAUACCCUGGAAUAGCUCAGACUGUUGAUGAUGAUCACGGCACAUUUGUCGAGAGAUUUCAUGAAGAUGUAAUCGAUCGGCGAUGACAUCAAGUCAAAGAAAUGAUGAGGCGAAAGGUUAUUGAAACCACGAGUACGACACAAAGUCAAAAUCAAACUUGCUGUUCAAGGUGAAAUGAUAUGACGAGAAAGAUCGAUGUAAGCUUAGCUCAUCAUCGAAAAUUAUGCUCCGGGAAGAAGGACCAGGUAGCACAGUUAAAUUUUAGCACGAUAAUGAUAUAGCUAAUCAGGCUAGGAAGAACUUGAAGGAUUAUUAAACUCGUAAGCAACAAAAUUACUUAGAGUUGUUGAAUUCAGAGUGCGGAAUCGAUUCACUCAUUGGUGUUCUUGAGUGACUAAUAACUCAGAACCCGUGGAAUAUUGGAAUCGGCGAGAAAUAAUAGUUGAGGAAGAACUCAUAAGAAGUUAUGUAGUCCCGUGAUAUUCUCGAGAUACCAGAGGGUAAUACUUGAAGGAAGAUCAAAAUAGAGGUUACGGAGAUGCAUCGAUCUGUAGAAGACAAGUGCUUUAACUUGUCUGAGAAAUGGAAUCAGGGAGAAAAUAUGGUCGGAACCACGAUUGCAAAAGACCAGGUCUUAGAUAUAAGAUAGGGGAAUAAUUAAUUUAAGAGAAGCUUCCAUGAUAAGAUCUACAUCGUGUCCAUGGGCAUGAACACAAAGUUCAAGGUCGACUCCCACUUCUUCAAUGUAUAACCUUUCCUUCACUUCUCGUUUUCGAUGAAGUUGUAGUGUUGAAAUUAUAUCUGGCAAAACACCAGAAGAGUAUGACUCGUGAAAACUCUCGGGUUCGCACGGAUUAGGGAAAGCAUAGGUUCAACCCAUAGGGGCAUAUUAGGAACAUAUACCACAAACUUAAAGAGUAAAAAAACACAAGCUCGAAGGUAGAGCAUGGUUGACAAAAGGAGAGGAUACAAUUUACCAAAGGCGUUGUGUAUCAGGGGAAGACUCACAAGGAUUUUAAAUAUGCGGAUCUGCUGGAUAAUAAUCCACCAAAGGAUCUAGCGGACCAUAAAGAAUCAGAAGUGAGUAUCAAUGUUCAACCAGAAGAAGUAAUGCAGGGGCAUCGGAAUAUAGAAGUACAUGGAUAAUUUCAAAGCUUAAAUACAAAGUGAUUGCAAUUUCUAAACUGGGGAUCAAAAGCAGACGCUCUGAUCAUAGAUGGAUAGGUUGAAUGGACUUAGAGGCACAACCGAUCAAUUCUUGAUUGGGCAAGAACCAGCUCAUAACUGGAGCGAUGUCUGAGCCGGAAAGAAAAUUUCUAAGGAUUAAUUGAUGAUUGCGAGUAUUCGCACACAUGUUGAAUCAAUAGGAUCAGAAUGACAAUCACAAAGUAUUUAAAUGAAUAUUCACUAGACAUAUGGGAUUAACCAUAAUGCAAGCAGGCAAGGAGAAUCAAGAGCAAUAGGCUGCAGAGGAUUUUGAAAGAUCGGAUAGCAUUUUCAGGUAUUUUGGAAAGCAUAUGAACAACUGGGGAUGAACGAACCCCGGUUAAGUGAAUUUUCCGCAGUACAAAAGAAGUUGCAAAGCAGAAGGCACAAAGGAUUCUCGAAAUAACGGAGAGUACUAGGGAUAUCUUGUAACAACAGGAACAACUGGGGAAGAAUGUACAAGCGGCAAGGAUGUUAUUCACGGGGAUUAUCGGUGGUCAGGAACUGCAAAGCAGUGGGCACAGGGUCUCAGGAAACAUCGAGGAGUAUCUGCAGAAUCUUCUGGCGAAGCAAGCGAUCAUCUGUAGUGAAGGGGCUCUCUGGGAGGAAGUGGUUACGAGAUCCUAGAGUCAGAGUUAGUAAAAUCUUUAACCCGAAUAGACGAGAGAUCAGAGUCCCAGAGUAUUGACGAGGAAUAAAAAGAUCCUAAUACCACCCAAUGGCGACGUGGGCCCAUAAGUCACACAGCCAAGUUGGUAAAACAGUUUUGGACGACUAGACUUGACUUCGGCCAAGGAGUUGGAAAGGAGGCUACCUACAGGCAGUUGGCUCUGCUACCAACUUGUGACGCCCUCGAUUCAAUCGUACACUAAUCAUACACGCAAAUGUGUAUGAUCAAGAUCAAGGACUCACAGGAAGAUAUCACAACACAACUCUAGACACAAAUUAAAAUAAUACAAGAUUUAUAUUACAAGCCAGGGGCCUCGAGGGCUCGAAUACAUAAGCUCGAAUACACAAGAGUCAGCGGAAGCAACAAUAUCCGAGUACAGACAUGAGUUGGACAAGUUUUCCUUAAGAAGGCUAGCACAAAAGCAACAACGAUCAAAAAGGCAAGGCCUCCUGCAUGGGAGCCUCCUAACUACUCCUGGUCGUCGGCGGUCUCCACGUAGUAGCAGGCAUCGGCGAUAGCAUCUGCCUCCUGGGCUCCGACAUCUGGUUGCAUCAACCGGAAAGAAGAAGAAAUGGGGAAAAGGGGGAGCAAAGCAACCGUGAGUACUCAUCCAAAGUACUCGCAAGCAAGGAUCUACACUACAUAUGCAUCAGUAUCAACAAAAAGGGUUGUAUCUGUGGACUGGACUGCAGAAUGCCAGAAGAGAAGGGGAAAGCCUAGCCUAUCAAACACUAGCAUCUUCUGGAAACCACCAUCUUGCAGCAACAUGAGGGAGUAGAGUAGCAUAAAGUAAAGUAGUAGAAGUGUUAUCAACCUUGGCCAGAGAUCCUUUCUCGACUCCCUGCGAGAAAGCAAUCCCAGAGCCAUACUAUCCAUUUCUCAUAUCAAGUAUCCAGUUCCAGUUGUAUCGAUCGGGAUACAACUCCAAGUGUCUGUUACCGUAGGACAGGCUAUCGAUAGAUGUUUUCUUCCCUGCAGGGGUGCACCAACUUACCCACCACGCUCAAUUAACUCCGGCCGGACACACUUUCCUGGGUCAUGCCCGGCCUCGGCCAAACAAUAUGCCGCAACCCAACCUAGGCUUAAUAGAGAGGUCAGCACGCCGGACUAAACCUAUGCCCCCAGGGGUCAUGGGCCAUCUCCCGGGGAACUCCUGCACGUUGCGUACGCGGCCGGUGAGCAGACCUAGCUACCUCCUUUAAAAAGGCAGGUGCUUACCAGUCCAACCCGGCGCGUGCCGCUCAGUCGCUGAUGUCUAUUAAGCUUCGGCUGAUGCAUACGACGCAGAACGCCCAUACUAUGCCCACGUGAUGUUUAGUGCUAUCAGGCCAGAGGCCCCUCGGAUCAAAUAUCCAAAUCGUAGUGGAUUAGGAGCACGCGGUAACAAGCAGAGACUCACGAAAGAUGUGACCCCGUUGCCCCGUCUCGAGGACUUGCGGCAAGGGCUAGGAAUGCCCGGCCAUGCCUCGUAAUUAUCUCGCGGGCACCCUCCAGGUCAACCCGUCUCCACAUCACUUGCGGGUACCCCUCAGGGUCGACCCGCCUUUCCAAGUAACAGUGGUAAAGUCCAAGUAUCCGUGUGUCCAAACAUCAAGGGGAAAACCCGAGGAAAUCACCCCCGGUGAAUUCCACUCGAUGUAAUCAUCAAGGUGAACGUAAGAGGAACCACCCCCGAGGUUCAUACUUGAGGGGUUGCACGACAGAGUCGUAUCGGAAGUGGUUAAGGUGGAAUCACCCUCGAUGACCACGACCGAAUAGCUACACUAUAGGGUUAACAUCAGAAAUGUUGUAGAUGUCUCACCCACGGCACUCGAUAGUAACCUAGUAGUGUCGAGCAACUAAGGGGAAAGUGAUGUGCGGUGCCGGGGCCUGGUCUUCGAUCCCGGUUAUCGGGUCUUCAAUGAUGAAGCAGGGGCAACAAGGACAAGUGGGGGUCACUGAUGGAUCACUAACCAACCUAUACUAAGCAGUUUAGGAUAAGCAGAUAGGUAACAAUAAGCAGGUUACAAAAGCAGGCUAUGCAUUAGAAUAGGAGCAAACAAUAACAAUAGCAAAAUCUAAUGCAAGCAUGAGAGAAUGGAAUGGGCGAUAUCGGGAUGAUCAAAGGGGGGGCUUUCCUGGUUGCUCUGGCAAGUAGGGGUCGUCGUCGACGUAGUCGAUCACAGGGGCGGCAUCGGACUCGAGGUCUACCGGAGAGAAGAGGGGGAAGAAAUAGUAAAUACAUAGCAAACAGAGGUAUCACUAAGCAUGACAUGACGAUACGUAGUGCUAGGCGUGCUCUAACGCGGUACUACACGUUGCAGACGAAGGGGGAAACAUCCGGGGAUGAUUUCCCGGCGGUAGGCGAAUUUCGGACAGAUGAAAGAGAGGGGACGGUUCCAUGUUCAACAUGCUAGGGGUAUGUGACAGAUGAACGGACCGCGUAUUCUGAUUCGUUGGAUUUUUCUGAGCAACUUUCAUAUAGAAAACAUUUGCAUCCGAGCUAAGAUUAUUUUUCUACGAUUUUUCAAAGAUUUAUUGAUUUUCUGAAAUUUUCUGGAAUUAUUUUAAUCCGAAAAUUAAAAUCUUAAGUGCAGUCAACUCAGUCAAUUUUUGACUAGUCAACAAGUCACUGAAACUAACUAGUGUAUAGAUAAAAUUAUGGGGCCACAUGUCAUUGUUUUAUUUAGCAUAAAUUAGUAAACAACUAAACUAGCUAACCUAAUUAGUACUACUACCUAAUUAGUACUACAAAUUAGAGCAUGGCCGGCCACACAUCCUGCCACGGCUGUGUUGCCAUGGUCAACUCAUAUGGGCGCAGAGUCACGGCCAUUAGCAGCAGUAGCAAGCAACAGUCUAGUAGUAGGAUUAAGCAACAUCAGUAGUAAGCCGCAGUACAGGAGCAGCGGCGCAAGCGCAGCUAGCAGCAACAAUGGAGGAGCAACAGUAGGAAGCAAGAGCAUCAGCGCAGCAAUCAAUAGCAGCAGGCUCGGCAAGACAGCAUCAGCAGUAGGCGAGCGCACGCGCACGCGGGUUGGCGUAGCGGGGCGGCAACAGCAGCAGUGGCAGCGCCGCAAGCAGCAGCAGGCAGAGCGGCGCGUGGCCGCGGCGGCGCAGGGUAGCAGCAGCUGCGGCAGCAGGCGGGCGCGCGGACGGGUGCCGGCAAGGGAGUCCAGGGCGCGCACGGGGUGGCCGGGACUCGAGCCCAGCCACGGCGGCUUACGUUUGGGGGGCAUCUAUCGCGAUGGACUCGCAGGGGAUCAGGGGGGAAAUCGACGGGGUGCUCACCAGGGAGGACGCAGGCGAGCUUGAGAGUGGUUGGGGACGGACCGGAGCAGCGAAUCAACGGCGAGGUGCGGCGGCUGUGACGGUGAGGAAGUUGACCGUGGCAUCGUCUUGGGGCCUGCAGGUGCGAACGGAGUAGUUGGCGAGGACGAGCGCGACGUGACGGAGCUCCUGGUCACACCGGGAAGAUGAGAGGCGGUCGGUGGCCACGGUAUCGACGCGGCGACGGCGUCGACCCCGUCGGGUGCCUCUCCAGAUCGGGGAGGAGAGCGAGGGG